AUCCUAGUAGCGCAAUGGAAACGCGUUGGUCCUCUAAUACAAAGGUCGUGGAUUCGAUCCUACCUGGGAUG